CUUGGCUCCGCCAGAGGCCUGCUGGGUGACCUUGGACAACUCUCUAGAUCCCAGGUUUCACCCGAAGCCACCAGCUCUCUUUCUUCCACGGGCGAGAGGGCCUGAUUCCAGGAUGUGAGAUGUGGCCCCGAGAAGUGGCGGAGCAGGAAGUAUGCUUCACCUCUAACUGCCCUCUUGCUGGUGGUACUCUGGUUCCCAGUGGAAUCAUGACCGACAGGGAUGAGAACUCACAAGUGGCCCCGGGCAAACACCUAGGACUAGAACCAGUUCCUUCGAUCAGGCGCUCCUUCCCGAAAGCUUCAUUCCUGGAUUGAAGCUCCUCCUGACUGGAUCUCCAAUUCCUCUGUGACCUUGCCUACUUUCCCCAUCCCUUCUCAAAGAACUCUUCUGGCCCUUCCGAGUCUCAUCUACCCCUCCGGUCCUUUGGGAUGGAAAUCACUGGAGUCUGGUGAACAAAGGGCUGGCCGGAAAGAGAGUAAGAGUUGGACUGAGCCCCAGGAGAUCCAAGGCUCAUUUUUCCUCUUAGGGAAUCCCAGACAGUGCUGACUUCCCAGCCUGACAUCUAGGAUCGGUGCAGCAGAAUCAGUGACACCCCAACUUCCAGCCUUGGUCGGUUCAGGAGGGUGCCUUAGUGGACAGAGCACGGGUCUGGGAGUCAGAAGGACCUGGGUUCUAAUCCUGCCUCUG